AGAGGGUGCAAGCGUUAAUCGGAAUAAUUGGGCGUAAAGGGUGCGUAGGUGGUAAUUUAAGUCUUAUGUGAAAAGUCAAUGGGCUCAACCAUUGAAUGCCAUAAGAAACUGGGUUACUAGAGUACUGUAGAGGGUAGUGGAAUUUCUGGUGUAGCGGUGAAAUGCGUAGAUAUCAGAAGGAACAUCAGUGGCGAAGGCGACUACCUGGACAGAUACUGACACUGAGGCACGAAAGCGUGGGUAGCGAACAGGAUUAGAUACCCUGGUAGUCCACGCUGUAAACGAUGAGUAUUAGCUGUUAUUAUCGAGAGAUAUUAGUGGCGCAGCUAACGUGUUAAAUACUCCGCCUGGGGAGUACGGCCGCAAGGUUA
rnacentral:rRNA from 1 species